AAUACAGGCUUCAUGAUUUUGGUUUAAUAUAAUCAAAUCACUGUCAGCGUAAACAUGAGGUCAGUUGUACUUGGUUUGUUUCUGUGUGCUGUCCUUCCUAUGAUCAAUGCUGCGUGCUUCACUGUGGGACGCAAAACAACAGAUAAGUUUUGCCAGGACACGACAGAUAAGACAUGGCAUCCUACUGGAUCUGUUUGGAGGAACAGUAAAUGUUUAGACUGUAAUUGUUCUUCUGAGUCCAUGAGUUGCUGUGAUGCAAUGCAGAUGCCUAUUAAUUAUCCUGACAAGUGCCAAGUGGAGUAUGAUUACACUACAUGCACAUUUGAGGUGUUUGAGAAAGUUCCCUGUUCUUACACUGGCAGUGUUCUUGGUAAAUGACAGCCAUGAAUAAAGAAAAUAAAGCCAUCUUCUUUGUAUUAUCUGCUGAUGUAAAGUAUAGUAACCUGUGUUUAAUUUGAAUAACAAUAUACAUGGGAUCAUGUCAAAAUGAACACAAAAUGUUGGUCAGUGUGAAUUGGACAGGCAUUUGGGCAAUGUUGUUAAUUGCAUUUUAGGGCUGUAACCACCAUAGACAUUGCAGGGGAUAUGUUCCCCCUGUAAUUUAAUUUACAGAUACAUAGAUUUAAAUCAUAAAUCAUAUAAAUUGAAUAAUAUAAACUGAUGUAAAUUCUAAUUAAAAGUUUUAUUUAAUUUAAAUUGUACAGUUGUGUUUAU